CCUGCACUGUCAUACUAGAUCAUUUUCUCAUGUCAAAUUAUCAACAUUGGAUAUUGGCUAAAGGAUAUUACAAAGUGUGCAGUUUUGUUAUUCUCUAUAUCCCGAAAGGAUCAUCUAUCAGUAAAAACACCCCCAUGUGACGGAAAACAUUUUGUUCACCGUACAUAAAGGCACACUAUAUAACCUGGGAGGGACAUCAGCAGAUUACAUCAAACAUUAAGCAUUAAGCGCUAAAUUUUCACCUGACUUUUGACCUCUCUUUUGACAGGACAGGCCUCACUGAACAGCGGCGGGUUUCUUUGCAGUCUCCCGGUUAUGUUGAAUUGGUGAGUUAUCAUGUCACGACUAAUCCAUGGAGGACAGAGGCUUUAAAAUAGUGCUUGGCACAAGAUUAAAACAUCUCAAAUAGUCAGCUAGUCUCCAACCGCAAAUUGAGGCAGCCCUUGAGUGCACUGAAAAGAACAAUGAGACACUUCUUCACAGUGUUUGUAAGUAUCUGAGAGAAAAAGUGGGAGAAUCCACCUCUCUCUCUCUCUCUCUCUCUCUCUCUCUCUCUGUGUGUGUGUGUGUGUGUGUCUCUGCUUUUUCACUAUUUUAUAGUGUCAUCUCACAAAUCCCAGCGGUUCAAUUCAAUCACACCUAUUGUUCUCUGACGGGUCCUGCUGAGGAUGUAAUAUUCCCAGCCAACAUGGCACUUUUGCCUCAUAAAGAUGUGUAAGGCAACAUUUCUCAAAACCACAAUUUGGAUAAGGUUCUACAUACAGGGAUGAGGCAGCACUCUUUGUUAAUAAAAUAGCAGCACAAACCUGUGGUUGGGUAGCUGACAUUACAUUUUAAACACUUUAACAUGCUAUUCUUCAGCUACAAAUAUUUUAGAUUAUCCAUUUAAGAAUAUGUGUUCUUUGACCAUGAAGUUGCAUUUUCAUAGUGUAUGCAUUUGACCAUGAAGUUGUGUGAAGUUUAUUAUACAAAACUGUUUGUUUUCUUUUGUAAGAACAUUUGACUGAAACAUUUUUAAAACUAAUAAGUGUUUAAUUCAACACAAAGAUGUGCUAUUUCUUCCAUAUAUAUUUUUUGAAAUGUGAACAUCUUGUCAAAAUAUGCAGAUUGUAGCAUGCACAAAUAUAUAAAAAUGAUAAAAAUUCUGUUUUUAUUAAUGUUUCCCUUUCUAUGCAUACACAAAGGCUUACUGUAAUGCUAUUUUUAAGUUUUCUUGGUG
rnacentral:lncRNA from 1 species